rnacentral:tRNA from 1 species
UAAAGCGUGGUGCAGUGGAAGCAUACCGGAACGUGUAUUCGGUGGUCAUGGGAUCGAAACCCAUCGCUUUAA